rnacentral:sRNA from 1 species
UUCUGUUUUACUUUUGAAAGAACUCAAUUUUUACUUGCCAAUCAUUCCUAUUUCUGUUAUUCUUAACAAGAAUUAUUUUUGUUCAGUAUGCAAGUGAAGAACAAGAAACUGCUUUUCGCCUGGAUAUCAUUUAGAGCAAGAAUAAAAUUUAAUUGUGUGUACGACGCACUAGGAGGCAACAAAAAUGGAAAAUGGUAAAGUAAAAUGGUUUAAUGCAGAAAAAGGUUUCGGAUUUAUCGAACGUGAAGCCGGAGAAGACGUAUUCGUUCAUUUCUCAGCGAUCCAAGGCGAAGGUUUCAAAUCACUUGAAGAAGGUCAAGAUGUUACAUUCGAUGUUGAAAAAGGCGCUCGCGGACCUCAAGCUGCAAACGUCCGUAAAGCUUAAUGUAGAUUUAGCACAUACAAAGAGACUCUAUUCUAGAGUCUUUUUUUA